CGUGCGCGGCUCGGCGCGCCGAGGCAGGCUCCGGCUGAGACUCCCAGACUGAGCAACAGCCGGACCCCGGGAGGGAUCGCACGGGGAAAGACAGCUCCGGGAAUCCUCAGAUCGAGAGGCUGCAGAGGGCCCGAGGAGAGGCCAGAGGGACAGAGCAGGGAGAAACGCGUGAGCUGCAUAGAUUCCUAAAGGAAGGUGGACACAGAGGCCUCUUUACAGACCCUAGUCCAAACUAGGCCUGGCUGGUUGGGGCAUCGGACUUAGACACCUACAGUUACUGGUGUCCCAGGACUUAAGAGAACGCUUCCUGGAGCUUUCUGUCACUUCUCCCAAAGGACUCAGAGCUGAGGACCCACAGCAGGUUCAAGAUUCCUGAUCCUCAACUGCUUUAGUCAUCGCCCCGGUGUUCUGAAGUCUUCUCAGUGGAAGUUCUUUUGAUGGUGUAACUUCAUUCCAUUCUUUUAAAAUCUGAUAUUAGAUAGGAACGUCUGGAAUUAAACUAUGGACCAUGGUGUUAGUUUGAAGGAGCGAAGGUGAGAGUAGGGACGUGGUCCUAGAAUCUUAGAACCUGUUUUCAUUCCCCGUUCCCAGAAUUCCUUAGCAGAUCCUAAACUGUUCUGCUCUUACCCGCCCCACUGGAAUUUCCAUGAUGGAAAUUGAUGGAGCCGGGUAUCUCGAUGCCGAGAAGUGGGAAGUGCCAAGAGUUCAGCGCCAGGCUAGCUCUUUUAACACCCAGGAGAAAACCAGGCACUAUGGGUAAAGGUGGACACCCACUGACUUCCCUUCACAAGGAUGUUCUUACCUUGACAAUGCAGAAAGAAGUCCAUCUCGGUACUGAUGGAGGAACUCCCUCCUCCACAGCCUGAGAUCUCAUGCCCAUGACUGAUGGAUGCACUGGAUUUUUUGAGGUGGAUCUUGAGAGUGUGGGGCUCUCCUGGCUGGAAGAGCACUGGGCUCUAGGAACUAGGAGCAGCAGUAUGGGGUAAGGGGUAGCACCAACUUCAGAGGCGGACCUCCUGGCAGAGGACAGAGCAAGCAUUGUCCAACCAGGAGGUUGCUGCAGCUGGGUUGCUGCAGCUGGGCGGGAACAGAAUUCUCUUGCAAACUUUGUUUUGUGGGGGCGAGAAGGCACGUCCCCUUCCCUUGUAGCCCUGGGGGGGUUAAUGGUUGCUGAGAAACGGAGCUUAUUUGUCAAUUGUUUCCCAGAUGCAGAUGUGGAGCUUGGUCUCUUCCUUAGAGUAUAUGCUUGGAGCUAGUGAGGCACUUAACACUUCACUGCCUUGGAUUCCAGAGUGGUGCCUGGUUCUGUGGAGAAACUGCAGCAGUGUGCCUAGCCCAGAAUCAAGUCUGUCAUGUCCUUUUUGCAUUCUGCCAGCUGAGGUGGGCAGGUAGGUAGGCAGUGAGGACUGACUAGUCUUUGCAGAUAUGAGGUGCCAUACAUGGUUAUGUACAUGUGGUCAUGAUACAUGGCCUUGCUUCUUUAGAGGGCACUCCUGGAACAGACUCGACCAUCUUUCUCUUCUUUGUGUCUGUUUCCCCUUUGCCAGAUGCUGGCUGCUCGCAGCUGGAAGGCCAGGGACUGACUGGCUUCUGAGGUAAAGCCUGGGAAGCCUUUUGCACUGAAAAGCUCCCACAGCACAGCCACACAUGGAUCCCAACCCAGUUCUGCCAGUUUUGGCUUUGGUCAGGCAAUGGAGAGUCAAUCCAGCACAGCCAGGGAUACAGACACAUUUUCUCAACAAAAAGCAAAAAACCCCAAUCAAACCAACCAAACCAAACCAAACCCUAGAGAAGCAGCUGCCUUGAUGGCCAGUAGCCAGUGUUGCAUCACAUCAUCCCUAUCUUGGACACAAGUCCCUCAGAUGUGUUCCAGUUCCCCGUGAUGCUAGAGGUUGCCUAUCCUAACCCAUUUUCGUUUUCAGUGAUGACCAGCUUUGGGUAACUACCUUAAAUCUGAAGUAUCUCAUGAAGUCUCUUUUUUUUUUUUUGGAGCUGGGGACCGAACCCAGGGCCUUGCACUUCCUAGGUAAGCGCUCUACCACUGAGCUAAAUCCCCAGCCCCAUGAAGUGGUUUCUGUAUCAGUGCCCCAUAGCAACUUGGUCUCAUGGACCACAAGGAGGCACAGCCUGCAGUGUUGACACUAGGCAGAAACCUCGGGGUUGGAGCAAGUUAACUAGGACAGCAAGCCGUGGGCUUCAUGUACAGAGGUCCAUUUCCAUCCGCUGUUGAUGAGCCUGCCCCCCUGCCGUACAACAGCUCCUACCCUGCUGUGCACAACUGAAGGAGUGGAGAUGGGGAGAGGAGAGGCGAGGUAUUCAGAAGGGAGGAGAGAACAAUAAAAGCACAGUAAGUACCUGAAAAAAACUGCAACAUUAACCAUCAACUUUAAAGACUGGAUUUAUUUGGAGAAAAACAAAAAACCCUCAACCCAAAGGAUGGGAUUUUACAUCUCAAGACAUCUCCCAAGUAAUGUCUACAGAUUACAAAUCAUUUUCAUAGAAGAUAUUUUUGUACAAAUUUUACAUGUAUUCAGGAGCGGGACAUAAGUCAACCCCUGUUCUUAUUUUAACAGAGGAAAGUAGGAGAGUGGGACAAAACAGCUGUCUUUUGGAUGCAACUAUCUGGAAGGGAAAUAGACAUGAAGAGGGCAAACUACCUUCUCACUGUCUACAACAAUGGUUUAAAAACCCAUUCAACCUGGGUAUCUCUGCAAAAGCCCUCCUAGCUACUAGCCAAUCAAAUCCACCGAAGAAAUUUGCUGUGCCUACUGCUGCAGCACGUGACGUCAAUGCUCCUGCACAGCAGGCCUAGGAACUUGUGCUAAAACCAAGGUCUCAUCUGUCUGCAGGUACCUGACUACCCACAACAGGGAAGCUUGCCAUCCUCGGAGCUGAGCUACAAAGGUGCACAUCAAGACAGGCUACAGCGCUGCACGAGGAACUCGGACCCUGGCCAACAGUUCUUUGCAUCCUCCUUUACUCUGGAGGGGAGUAAAGACGCCAGCCCUCCUAGGCAGAAAAGCAGUGACAACUCAAGCACCGGUGUGGGGUUCAGUGAAGGAAACUUAUAGACAGAAACCUUUAAACACUCGAAGGCUGAAGGCUCCAACUCACCCCGUCUACACCCCAUUCCCCACCCAAGCCCAUCAGUCAGGGAUGACAGCAGCAGAUAGGGCAGGAAUCAAAAGAUAAAGAAAGCACAGAGCUGGUCUGCCUGGAAAAGCAGUGAGUCCUCAGGCCCUGCUCUUGUGGCCAAGAUACAAUGUCUGUGGAGGUGUGUGACUCAGAGACAGCUCUGGGAGUCUAAGUGUCAUGGAGAACAUGAGAUGGCCAGAGUGACAAGGUUUUCAAAGAAUGUGGAUAUGCUCAAACCUCUAGAGAGGACAGUUUAGAAGGGGCAAAACCAGGACACACAAGACUAGAACUUCCCACGACCUGUAAGUGCUUCCUCAUCCAGAAACGACCACUCUAUUCAUGUAGUUACUGGAGGUCACACCAUUUCCCUUACUACCUGGUAUAAAAUAUAAUCGAUCACCUCCCCAAAGCUUUUCAAACCACGAUUGAAUUUCCCAUUCAUUUUGGUCCCCAAGCGGUGCUACUGUUAGUGGCCUGUAGACUCACUCCCAACUACCCCCUUGGGGGGUAAAAAAAAAAACAAAACAAAAAACAAUUCUCCCUAGGCUGGCCCCACUGAAGUCAGAACUAAAGUAGAGGGGUUGGCAGCCUCCUGGAGACUAAAACAGCUUGAGAGACUAGAGCUACCUAAGGAUGGGAAGUUUGUUCAGGUAAUGUGUGGGGGUUCACAGGUGCCACCUUAGGAUAAGAAUUAGAAGGUGGAAAUCUCACUUCUCCCUGCGUUCUCUACUGCCUAACUGGUGUGACUGCCUCUCUGUCACUGCAUUUCUGCUGAAUGGAGCCCCAGGCACUAUUCACACAGGUAACUGCUUGGUAUCAUCAGACACAACUUCCCUGUUCAGAAGCGGUAGCCGCAUCUCUGGCUACAAUGGUGAUUCUCCAGUUACUCCAAUACUUUAAAAGGCUGCAGCAGCAUGCAAAAGAAUUUCAUUUCAUUAAAAAAAAAGUUUAGAAAGGUCUUCAGGAGAUGGUGAGUUUAUUUUGUCUUGUCUGGAUAGAGGUUUGAUUUGCUCUUGAAUGUUCCAGGGUGGAGACAAGGAGAAAGCACAGGUGUGGAGGUCUACUCAGUGCAGUCGUCUCCCUCAUCCUCAUCCUCACCGUCCACAGACAGAGCAGCGUACUUGCUUGCAGAACUGAACUUCUGUGACAGAGGAGAGAGGACAAGGUCAUGGACAGAGUCCAAGAUUCUCCUACCCAAACCUAAAAACACAACAUCGAUGUCAUGGCACAUCCAUUCUUCUGGGAGAGCAUGUUCUGGUACAGCGGUCAGGGAGGGUCAGGGGCACGAGUGAACUCAGCCACACAUCUCCUCCUUAUGGGAGCCGAGAAAGGUGGUUUCAACAACAAAUGCCGACCUUAGCUUUUCUCACUGAUCUGAACAGUACCGAUGCCUCACUUCCACUGAAGAAAAGGGAGUCAGACACAGAACUGAGCAGCAGAGGCGUGUGCACGGUACUUACAGAGGCUCGGUUCUCCUCAGAUUUCUUUGGCUCAGGUGCAGAUCUGGAGUCUUGAUCUUUUUUGCCGUCCUUCCUGCAGAGACACAAGCAUCCUAUUCAACACUGUGGCCAGGACAAUGCAUCACUUUAGCUCCACAAAUCUAACCGGGACUCUAGCUUGUUCAGAGGUAGACCUGGAGUACUUGAGAAAGCCCAGAACCACUUCAUAAAGAUCCCCGCAUCUGAUACCAGAUUCAUAAACGUUAUUUUAACCCCUUGUACCGGCUGGUUUUGUGUGUCAACCUGAUACAAGUUGGGGUUCUCACAGAGAAAGGAGUCUCCUUUGAGGAAAUGCCUCCAUGAGACCCAGCUGUAAGGCAUUUUCUCAAUUAGUGAUGAAGGGGGAGGACCCAGCCCAUUGUGGGUUGUGAUGUGAGUGGUCUUGGGUUCUAUUAAAGAGAGAAAGCUGAGCAAGCCUGGGGAAGCAAGCCAGUAAGUAACAUCCCUCCAUGGCCUCUGCAUCAGCUUCCAGACCGGCUUGAGUUCCAGUCCUGACUUCCUUUGGUGAUGAACAGCAAUGUGGAAGUGUAAGCUGAAUAAACCCUUUCCUCCCCAA